AUAUUGGACAAUGGGCGCAAGCCUGAUCCAGCCAUGCCGCGUGAGUGAUGAAGGCCUUAGGGUUGUAAAGCUCUUUCACCGGUGAAGAUAAUGACGGUAACCGGAGAAGAAGCCCCGGCUAACUUCGUGCCAGCAGCCGCGGUAAUACGAAGGGGGCUAGCGUUGUUCGGAAUUACUGGGCGUAAAGCGAGUGUAGGUGGUUGUCAUAGUCAGGUGUGAAAGCCUUGAGCUCAACUCAAGAAAUGCACUUGAUACUGGGCGACUAGAGGACCGGAGAGGAUAGUGGAAUUCCCAGUGUAGUGGUGAAAUACGUAGAGAUUGGGAAGAACACCAGUGGCGAAGGCGGCUAUCUGGACGGUUUCUGACACUAAGACUCGAAAGCGUGGGGAGCAAACAGG
rnacentral:rRNA from 1 species